rnacentral:rRNA from 1 species
AUUGAACGCUGGCGGCAUGCUUUACACAUGCAAGUCGAACGGUAACAGGCCGCAAGGUGCUGACGAGUGGCGAACGGGUGAGUAAUGCAUCGGAACGUGCCCAGUCGUGGGGGAUAACGCAGCGAAAGCUGUGCUAAUACCGCAUACGAUCUAUGGAUGAAAGCGGGGGACCGUAAGGCCUCGCGCGAUUGGAGCGGCCGAUGUCAGAUUAGGUAGUUGGUGGGGUAAAGGCCUACCAAGCCGACGAUCUGUAGCUGGUCUGAGAGGACGACCAGCCACACUGGGACUGAGACACGGCCCAGACUCCUACGGGAGGCAGCAGUGGGGAAUUUUGGACAAUGGGCGCAAGCCUGAUCCAGCAAUGCCGCGUGCAGGAAGAAGGCCUUCGGGUUGUAAACUGCUCUUGUACGGAACGAAACGGUCUGGGUUAAUACCCGGGCUAAUGACGGUACCGUAAGAAUAAGCACCGGCUAACUACGUGCCAGCCGCCGCAGUAAGAC